UGGGGAAUAUUGCACAAUGGGCGCAAGCCUGAUGCAGCAACGCCGCGUGAGGGAUGACGGCCUUCGGGUUGUAAACCUCUUUUAGCAGGGAAGAAGCGAAAGUGACGGUACCUGCAGAAAAAGCACCGGCUAACUACGUGCCAGCAGCCGCGGUAAUACGUAGGGUGCAAGCGUUGUCCGGAAUUAUUGGGCGUAAAGAGCUCGUAGGCGGUCUGUCGCGUCUGCUGUGAAAUCCCGAGGCUCAACCUCGGGCCUGCAGUGGGUACGGGCAGACUAGAGUGCGGUAGGGGAGAAUGGAACUCCUGGUGUAGCGGUGGAAUGCGCAGAUAUCAGGAAGAACACCGAUGGCGAAGGCAGUUCUCUGGGCCGUAACUGACGCUGAGGAGCGAAAGCGUGGGGAGCGAACAGGAUUAGAUACCCUGGUAGUCCACGCCGUAAACGUUGGGCGCUAGAUGUGGGGACCAUUCCACGGUUUCCGUGUCGCAGCUAACGCAUUAAGCGCCCGCCUGGGGAGUACGGCCGCAAGGCUAAAACUCAAAUGAAUUGACGGGGUC
rnacentral:rRNA from 1 species